GAGUGAAGGUGGCGGUGGAGAGGGGUAUUUCAGAGGAAAGAGCCAGUAGAAGGCACAAGGUGUGAAAUAAGUAGACCGUUAGGAACUGCAAGUGGGUCCCUGUGACUUGGGUGCAGGGAGUGUGGGAGGAAAUGGGGGGCAGAUGGGAACCUUGGAAGGGCUUGAAGCUCACAGACAUGUGUGGGCAGUGGGCAAAGAACAAGCCCUGGAGUCCCUGACUUGGAUUUAAAUCCCCAUUCUCACUGCACGACCUUGCACAAGGCCAGCCCCCACUCUGGGCCUCUUGUCUGUGGGUCACAGGAGGGAAAGUGCCGUGGUGAGGUCCAUCGGGGGCCCUUGGUCAGCACUGUGUGUGCUGAGCCCCAAGCGCAGAGGUCACUCAGCUGUCCUUAGCGAUGCAUACAUACCUCCCUCCUGAGGGCAGGUCCAGCCAGCCAACCUGGGAACUCCUGGGGUGUGAACGGGGCAUGGUGGGGCAGGGGAAGGACUGGCUGUCUCAGCUGGUCUGGGUGCUGGCUGGGUCAGACGUGCAGACAGCUGGGCGACUCCUCCCACUUGGGUGGUUCAGCCCCAGGCACAUUGCUGUGGGGUUGGGGCACAGGGCGGUGGGAGCGGGAACCAGGAAGCCUGGCACUGAGUGCUCAAGGUGAGCCUGCUGCCCAUUCACGUUGCCUCACUCGACUCUCACCGAAGCAGCUCAGAUCUUUGCUGCCUUUCACCAAGACCACUAGAUGGCGUCAGUGCUCCAUCUUCUAAAAAGAAAUCAGCAGCUCCCUACUAAGAGCUCAGAAAGCCCCUUCUCUGGACUCGAGGACAUCCAGGAGCCAAAACCAGCUUCCAAGAGCCAGGAGGGUUCAGCCUGAAGGGAGAGGCAAAGAUUCCCUGUUCCUGGAAUUGGACGAAGGGACAGUGUAGCCUUGUUUUUCCUCCAGGAACCCAGGGACUAAGGGAAAGAGAAGCAUCCAUACAAAACUCCUCCGAGGCCUGCUGUGCCUCAGGCAGCAGGGGCUGUGAGGGUUAGCAUGCAGGCUCAUGCACGGAAGCAUUAGAGGAGAAAUACGAUGUGCCUGGGAGCAUGGCUGGGGCAUUAGUGAGAGUCUGAACAGCAAGGAGAAAGGAUGCCGAAAUUACAUCACUAAAUGAUCUAGAGCCUGUAUGCCUUGACUUCCAUCUGUCCCAGCAGCCUCAGCACCACACUGCUAUGAACAUGUCCGUCUGUGGCUCUGCCUUCUCCUCCAGAUUGGCUGGUCCUUGAGGGCAAGGCCAUGUCGGACUUGGUUUUGUAUCAAGUGUGGGCAUGUGACCGAGAUGGAUUUAGAACUGGGCUUUGAUCCAAGGGGUCAAAGGAAAGACAGACCUUGGACUUUUCCUGAAAGUUUUUUAAAAGGUUACUAAGAUGGCAUGACAUGAGUUAGGAGCCACUGGAGAUCAUCUUGGUUACCACAAAGAGAGAGCAUGCCUGGGAGUGAUGUCAACCCAGAGGAAAGCAUGAUGACAUCAUGUGAACACCUGGACCCAGCCACUCCAGAAGCUAGAAUUGACCUGUUCAGUUCUGGGAGUUGCUUCUUAAGUUGUUUUUCUUGAGUUGGAUUUCAAUCUCUUACAACCAAAAGAGCCUAGGUCAAUAUGGUCUUUCCCCCCUAUAUUAAAAAAAAAAUCUUGAUUAUCAAAUGGCACCUAUUAAAAAUGUCCGCUGGCCCAGUAUAAGUGGGUGGUGUAUUUCAGAGACACAUUUUGCCUUAACUCUGGAGCAGGCAUGCCGAGGGUUCAAUCCUCCUGCCACCUGGGAAGGACCCUACUGCCCUUGCUUCUAAGAU